GUUUUAAAAUGUAAAACCCAUUCCUGGCUCACAGGCUGCAUAGAAGCAGGUGGAGAGCUGGGCUGGGUUGUGGGCCCUCACGUGCCACCCCCUGACCUAGAGUGUGUUUGCCCUGGGAAGGAAUAAGACGAGGUUGUGUAGAGAGGCAGUGGCUGGAUGGGGAGAGGCCUGGGCCCUGCACAGAGGAGCUGAGGUGUGAGGCUGCUUGCGAGGGAGGCGGCUGACCAGGCUUGGUACUAGCAGGCUCUCCGGGGAGGAGGCCCCCUGGAGGAACAGCGCUGGCGUCAGCCACAGAAGGGCUUAGCGGCCAUGGUCUUCCUGCUGCAGCCCGUGUGGUUUUGGGAGGGACACAUGGAGCAUUGGAGGACAAAGAGACGGCCAGAUCGGAGUGUGUGUGGCAGAGGGGCGAUGCCACCCUUCGGAGCGAUGGGUGCCAGGGUACUCGACUGAACAACAUUUGCAAGAGCUGCCUAACUCGGUGAAGCAACAUUUUCCAGAUGGUCGAUGCGGGAUCACGCCUGGGUAAAAGAUCCAUUUAGAGUACAAGUCAAGCCAAUGGAUCUUAAAGCCAUAAAGUGCAGAAGCUCAUGGAUACAGUUCACAUUCCAUAUUGCAAACAGCCUUUAAGGAAAAAUAAAACACACUUGUUGCGUGUUGGUGUGGUGUCAAAGAGGAAUCUCCAUAAUUAUCUGAAGAGCCUAUUAAGAUACUUUUCCCUUGUCUAACUGCAUCUCCUUGUAAGGCUGCAUUUUAUUUUAUUUUUUCGUACUUUUUGUAGAGACAGGGUUUUGCUGUGUUGCCCGGGUUGGUCUCGAACUCCUGGACUCACAGAAUCUGCACCCCCCCGGGCCUCCCAAAGUGCUGGGAUUACGGGCGUGAGCCACUUCCCCUGGUGAGGCUGCCUUUUUGUCAUAUGCAUCGACCAAAACAACAUAUCGGAGCAGACCACCGGUGGAAGCAGAUAGGAAACUCUAGUUGUUUUCAAUUAAGCCGGGCAUUAGAAAUUUGUAAAAAUGUAAAACAAUAUUAUCCCUCUUCUCAUUAAGGUUUUGUUGUUCUUUGGAAGCUAUAGUUAUUUUUCAUAAAACAUGUUUUGUAUGUACCAUGAAUGUUUGUCCCCUUUGAAACUCAUGUUGAAAGCUGGUCCCCAGUGUCACAGUAUUAAGAGGUGAUUGGAUCAUGAGGGCUCAGCCCUCAGGAAUGCGUUCAGUGCAUUUAUAGACUAAUGGGCUCUCCUCGUGGUGGGUUAGUGAUCAUGACAGGGCGUCUGUUAUAAAAGCCAGUUUGGGUGUCUCUCAUAUCCCCACCAGCAGGAAGGCACUCCUCAGAUGGGACCCCUGGACCUUGGACUUCUCAGCCUCCUGAACUAUAAGAAAUGCAUUUCUUAGGCUGGGCGCAGUGGCUCAUUCCUGUAAUCCCAGCACUUUGGGAGGAUGAGGUGGGUGGAUUACCUGAGAUCUGGAGUUCAAGACCAGCCUGCCAACAUGGUGAAACGCUGUCUCUACUAAAAAUACAAAAAAUUAGCCUGGUGCAGUGGCGUGCGCCUGUAAUCCCAGCUACUCUGGAGGCUGAGGCAGGAGAAUCACUUGAACCCGGGAGGUGGAGGUUGCAGUGAGCCGAG
rnacentral:lncRNA from 10 species